GACAGAGGAGGCAAGCGUUGUCCGGACUGACUGGGCGUAAAGCGCGCGCAGGCGGAUAUGGGCGUCGGUGCUGAAAGACACCGCUUAACGGUGGCUCGCGUGCCGAUACGCCAUAUCUGGAGGGCGGGCGAGGGCGGUGGAAUUGCCGGUGUAGUGGUGAAAUGCGUAGAGAUCGGCAGGAACACCCGUGGCGGAAGCGGCCGCCCUAGCCCGCACCUGACGCUGAGGCGCGACAGCGUGGGGAGCGAACGGG
rnacentral:rRNA from 1 species